rnacentral:rRNA from 1 species
UACAGAGGGGGCGAGCGUUGUUCGGAAUUACUGGGCGUAAAGGGCGCGUAGGCGGCUUUGUAAGUCGGGGGUGAAAGCCUGUGGCUCAACCACAGAAUUGCCUUCGAUACUGCAUGGCUUGAGACCGGAAGAGGUUAGUGGAACUGCGAGUGUAGAGGUGAAAUUCGUAGAUAUUCGCAAGAACACCAGUGGCGAAGGCGGCUGACUGGUCCGGAUCUGACGCUGAGGCGCGAAAGCGUGGGGAGCAAACAGG